rnacentral:rRNA from 1 species
AAGCGAACCUGCGAAGGCAAGCGGAUCUCUUAAAGCCGUUCUCAGUUCGGACUGUAGGCUGCAACUCGCCUACAUGAAGUCGGAAUCGCUAGUAAUCGCGGAUCAGCAUGCCGCGGUGAAUACGUUCCCGGGCCUUGUACACAUCGCCCGUCACACCAUGAGAGUUUGUAACACCCAAAGCCGGUGGGGUAACCUUUUGGAGCCAGCCGUCUAAGGUGGGACAGAUGAUUGGGGUGAAGUCGUAACAAGGUAAC